GCGCAAAAGCGGGUUCCCAAGGAGGGAAAGGUGAAGAUCUUGGGGAAAAGAACUAUCAAACCUACCAGCUGAUCAAGAAAAUGAUAAGAGUGACAAUGGUAAGAGUAACCACAAUUUGGAUGACGAAGAUAAUGACAACUGUGAUAAGAGUUUACAUUCAUCUGAACCACCUAUAUACGAACGAUUAAUUGCUAUUCAUGUUGGAAAACCUGAAGGGGGCUUAAAAGAGGCGCUGAAAAUUGGAAUAAUAAACCCAUACGCCUUAGUUUGAGCGAACAAGCGCUUGAAAAGGCUGCUGAAGCACAUGGAGUGGAUGUUGUAAGAAGAAGAUCCGAGAGUGUACCCUUAAGGUACUCAGUUCAACUCGUCCAAUUAUACGCCCUAAAUCGGUUGGAUGCAUGGAGCUCAAAUGGUUGCCUUUAAUAUGCAGAGAUGUGUUGUAUUUGAUGCAUUGGUGAGGUGUACGAGGCUUACAAGACUCUGGGAUCUCUAUGCCGUCACUUCUUGUCCUUCUAGAUUCAAUAACACCAACCCAACUAUGCGGUUACUAAAUGAGUAGUUUGGGCUUCUUGUAAUGGUUUCUUGUAACGCAUCAGCUAGCAAUAUUGAAGAUGGGUCCUUCACAUUGUCUAAUGACUGGUGGAAAAUUAGUGCAGUGAAUUCAACUUAUACAAUGUGCCCAACUUAUUGGUUUGCCUUGCUUGUUCCCAAAUGCAAUAGUGAUGAAGAAGUGCUCCAGGCUUCCACAUUCCGGUGUUGAUUGCCUAUAAUUUCAUGGUGUCAUCCAAGAAACAUAGCUGUUCUCGCAUGGUCAUCCCAACCUCUAGUUGGUCUCAUGAUAAAUAUGAGGAGCAAUGCUAAUGAAAAACUAGUUGCUUCACUUUGCACUCACAUUGUUGGUGCAAAGCAUCCACACAGGUUAGCCUAUGCUUUCUCUUUUUCCUUCCUAAUUUGUGUAUGUGUAUAUGUGCUACACCUUGCUUUGUCUUGUGUUUUGUUCUUUCUUCGGCAUACAUUUUUGACUUGGUGUUUUGUUCUCUUGGUUUUGGAACUUGUGGAUUCAAUGUUACC